AACGAACGCUGGCGGCAGGCCUAACACAUGCAAGUCGAGCGAGACGUUCGGGUCUAUGUGCGGACGGGGGGUUAACACGUGGGAACGUGCCCUUGUCUGCGGUAUCGCCUCGGGAAACUUAGCUUAAUACCGCAUACGCUCUUUGGGGGAAAGAUCUAUCGGAACAGGAUCGGGGCUGGUUGGAUUAGGUAGUUGGGGGGGUAAUGGCCUACCAAGCAUACGAUGCUUAGCUGGUUGGUGAGGAUGAUAAGUCACACUGGGAAUGAGACACGGCCCAGACGGGUACGGGACGGAGGAGUGGGGAAUAUUAGAGAAGGGGGGCAAAUCUAACAUAGCCAUGUCGGGUAAGUGAUGAAGGGCGUAGGGUUGUAAAGCUGUUUGAGCUGGGAAGAUAAUGACGGUAACAGCAGAAGAAGCCCCGGCUAACUACGUG
rnacentral:rRNA from 1 species